AGCUCCAAUAGCGUAUAUUAAAGUUGUUGCAGUUAAAAAGCUCGUAGUUGGAUUUGUGGCGUCACAUGGGACCUAAUUAUAGUGUACCAUGAUGAGGCCAUCAUUGGGUGGAACCUGUGUGGCAUUAGGUUGUCGUAUAGGGAAUGCCCAUCGUUUACUGUGAAAAAAUUAGAGUGUUCAAAGCAGGCUUAUGCCGUUGAAUAUAUUAGCAUGGAAUAAUGAGAUAGGACCUCGGUACUAUUUUGUUGGUUUGCGCACCGAGGUAAUGAUUAAUAGGGACAGUUGGGGGUAUUCGUAUUCCAUUGUCAGAGGUGAAAUUCUUGGAUUUCUGGAAGACGAACUACUGCGAAAGCAUUUACCAAGGAUGUUUUCA
rnacentral:rRNA from 1 species